rnacentral:rRNA from 1 species
AUUGAACGCUGGCGGCAGGCCUAACACAUGCAAGUCGAACGAGUGGCGGACGGGUGAGUAAUGUCUGGGAAACUGCCUGAUGGAGGGGGAUAACUACUGGAAACGGUAGCUAAUACCGCAUAACAUCAGAUGUGCCCAGAUGGGAUUAGCUAUUUGGUGGGGUAACGGCUCACCAAGGCGACUAUCCCUAGCUGGUCUGAGAGGAUGACCAGCAACACGGGAACGUAGACACGGUACAGACUCCGACGGAAGGCAGCAGUGGGAAAUAUGGCACAAUGGGCGCAAGCCUGAUGCAGCCAUGCCGCGUGUAUGAAGAAGGCCUUCGGGUUGUAAAGUACUUUCAGCGGGGAGGCGUUACCCGCAGAAGAAGCACCGGCUAACUCCGUGCCAGCAGCCGCGGGAAUAC